CUUAAGAGUUAGAGGAAGGGUUUCCUCUAUGAAACCCUAGCCGCCUCCUCCCUUCUCUCUCUUCUCUAACGUCACACACGCUGGAAUUGGCAAAGAUAAGGGCCCGCAUCGGUUCCUCUAGCUACGGUAUGACCGAGAAUGGCAAUAGCAUUAAUUGCUCUACCAUUUCUCAACCAAAACCACCAAAGACCGAUCCAAACACGGGUUGAGGAAGCAAGGAUUUCUUCCAAGUUCAAUCUCGACAUUGGCUGCACUCACAAAAGAUUUUGGACGAAAUUGAAGUUGACGCCAAGCGAGCGUAAGGCGCUAUCGAGGUACAGAAGCACCAGGUGAUACGCCGCCAGCGUAGGUUUCUGAUUCAGCUGUUUUGAAGAGCUCCUUUGAUCCGGAGCGUAUAUUUUUGGUAUAUAUCUCCUGUCUUCUGUAUACUCUGUAUGUAUGGAUAUUCUGGGUACGGCGGGGCCCUGUCCCGUCAUAUGACUCUGUAUGUCUGUAGAGGCCUGUAGAUAGAUGUGUGGGUUACGGGUUUCGUCUGUAUGUUAGCCUUAUCGGCUUAUCUGUAUGUUUCUGUAUGUUCAGAUAUAUAUAUGUUUGCG